rnacentral:lncRNA from 1 species
UGUUGAUGCAACUAAAAAUUUAAUCAGGUAUUUAUAUUUCAUCAGAACAUUUCUGUUUGUAACAUUAGUGUUAUGAUUGUAAUUGUUGCCUGCUAUAGUAGAAGAUGCAGGAACAAAUGAUUCAAAUUAUAGAAUCAUGAUGGAAAUUGUUGCCUGUCAUGUAUUAAAGAAGAUGCAGGAUCACCUUAUGAAAAUUAUAAAUGGUUGUGCAAACAAAAAUUAUUUGUAGUUUCAAAAUUAUUUUGCAAUAAAAAAAGAAAUUUAAUUUUUUAAACAAAUUUCACAUAGUCAAAAAACAAAAUGACCGUGUGAGGGCCGUAUAGCCAGUCAAGGUCGUUAAAAACUUCCAUCAUCAUAGUCAAACAGCUGGUACAUUAAUAUUUUGACAUAAAAAUAAGAAGAUUUGGUAUGAUAUUCCUUUGUUCAUGACAAGGGCAUUGAAGUUACUUUGCUAAGUGUGUUUUUAAUAAUUACAAAUCAGUCAAGUACCAAGAUUGUAUGUAUCGCCAUUGUUUAAAACACUCAGUGUCUGUAAAAAAAAAAACCAAGGGGCAUAACUUUUAUAGUUAUACAAAUCAAUAACAAAACAUGAAUAAUUUUUGCUAAUUUUUUUAUCUUUGAAAUUUUUUGUUGUGCAAUAAUCCUGCCAGUAUGUCAACUUCCAAGCAAGGACCGAAGCUCAUAAACUCAUCAAUAAACGCAGGACUUCGGGAAUGUCCAGAGAGCCGACAACCUUGCUUCGGAAGUUGCCAGUAUGUAUGUUGUAAGAUGGGGUUAACAAUUUGUAACCAUUUUUAUCCUUAUUUUCCAAAGCAGCACAAUAGACAUGAUAGAUGUUAAUUAUCUAUAUGUGAUGUUUUUACUUUGUAUGUUUAGGUUGAUCAAAUGAUUACUAGGGUUUUUCGAGACUUUAUAUGGGAGUAGACCCAGGUCAAGGGACGUAACUCUUAAAAAAGUCAACAGAACAUUUGUGUAAAGCAUUUUCAAAAAUUAGUAUGAAGAUUUUUUGAAACGCAAAUUGAUUGAAUUCUGGUUGGUAAUAAUGUUUAAAAAAAACAAUGAUGAUGCAAUGUACUAAAUCUUUUAAAAUCCAAUUACUGUACUGAUAUAGAAAUGUAUCUCCC